AAAAAAACGCGUGUUUACCGGCGUAAACUACCGGCGGCGCUUUUGCCGUCGGUACCUAACGGCGGCACGGCGGCGGCAUUUCAGGCGACCCGAACCUUCGAAAUUACCGGCCAGUUACCGACGGCAAACCCGCCGCCGUUAACUAGCGACGGCGACGCCGCCGUUAAGUUUUGAAUAUUCAAUAAAACAUUAUUUUAACACAAUUACCGACGGCGUUUUUGCCGUCGCUAGCUAGCGGCGGCACUUGCCCUCGGUAAUGUCUAAUAUUAGGGCACGCGUAACCUCCUUUUUUCAGUUCUGCGCAAAACAGAUCCCCCCACCCCCCGCCGCUUCUGCUGCUGCCACCAGCCGACCACCGCCGCCGACCGCCGCCGCCGAACCCCGCCGCCGACCGCCGCCGUGCCCAGCCGCCCGUUCGACGAUUUCGUUUCGCCGCUUUCUUCACGACACCCGCCGGAAACCACCACCAAUUUGCAAGAAUGAGUGAUAAUCGUACGUGGAUGUACGCGAGAUACAAUGAUCGUACCGCAUUUGAAACGGGGCUUGAGUUUUUCCUUGAGUGGGCGUUCAAUCAAACGGCGUACACAGAUGGACAAGGUAACAUUAGGUGCCCGUGUAAGAAGUGCAAGAAUCAAGCGUAUUUAGAUGUACCUACGGUCAGAGAACAUGUUAGUAGGCGUGGAUUUGUCCUGAAUUACAAAGUUUGGGUUUGUCACGGGGAAGCACCGCUGUCUAUGCCGAGAGAACAUGCUAUAAUGAAUGAGGAUGAUGGAUUAUACAAUAACUACGAAAGGAUGGUGCAUGACCAUGCUGGACCUAGUAAUUAUCAAGAUCCUCCAAAUCUGGAGCAGCCGCCCAAUAAUGACGCUCAACAGAUUUAUAACAUGUUGGAUGCAGCGGAUACUCCAUUGUA